rnacentral:rRNA from 1 species
UACGAGGGGUGCGAGCAUUAUCCGGAAUUAUUGGGCGUACAGGGCGCGUAGGCGGCUUAUUAAGUCUGCUGUUAAAUAUCCCAGCCUAACUGGGAAAAUGCAGUUGAUACUGACGAGCUAGAGGAUGGAAGAGGGAAGUGGAAUUCUCGGAGUAGCGGUAAAAUGCGUAGAUCUCGAGAGGAACACCGAUGGCGAAGGCAGCUUCCUGGUCCAUUUCUGACGCUGAGGCGCGAAAGCGUGGGGAGCAAACAGG